rnacentral:rRNA from 1 species
AACGUAGGGGGCGAGCGUUAUCCGGAAUCACUGGGCGUAAAGGGCGUCUAGGCGGUCCAGUAAGUCCUGCGUGAAAGCUCCCGGCUCAACUGGGAGAGCGCGUGGGAGACUGUUGGGCUAGAGACUCGGAGAGGGGUGUGGAAUUCCCGGUGGAGUGGUGAAAUGCGUUGAGAUCGGGAGGAACACCAGUGGCGAAGGCGGCACUCUGGCCGAGUUCUGACGCUGAAGCGCGACAGCGUGGGGAGCAAACGGG